CCUGGGUGACAAGAGGGAGACUCCAUCUUAAGAAAAAAAAAAAAAGGAGAAAGCAAAGUUGUUAACUGUCCUAUCAUGCUACAUUGAACCUUUUAGAAAACUUGGCAUAAUUUUUUUUUCUUGUUAUCGUGUAUCAUAAAUGCCAGUAAUCUCCAGGAUUAGCAACACAAAACUAAACCUCUCCACAUUAUCUUUCCUGAGUGGUGUUUUCUUUGGUGAUUGCUUCCCUCCGCCACCUUAAUUUUCAGAAGAACCGAAAUAGUGACAUCUGCACUGAGUUAUUGUAGUAUAAAACAGCUCAGAGGAUCUAAAACUAAAAUUGCUUUUUAGAUAUGAAUGAAAAAUUUUUUAUAAGUCGUUGGGAGAUCCUUGCUUUUGCCUAAUAUGGUAAAGGUAGUUGUCAAAAGUAACUACAUAUAUAUUUUAUAGUUUACAGAAAAAACUAAUGCCCUGCAUUCUCCCUGGAAAUCUUCUAACCAGCAGUUUUACUUAGGUUCAAAACGAUUUAUAGUUGACCUUCAUAAUCACAGAUGCCCAACAGUAUUUGUCCAUAUCUCUCUUAUGAAUAACAUUCUGCUUGAAGUCCGGUUGUUUGUGUAUUUGUCUUAUCUCUCCUACAGAUUGCUGAGUCCUCAAGAGUGAGAACAAGAACUUACUCAUGUCUGUAUCUUCCACAGGACUUGUGUUUUAUAGGUACCCUUUGAUCUUUCCUACUUAAGCAGCCUGGACCCUGGUCCAUUAAAGUAUUUCCACAAUUGGACCAUCUAUUCCUGAACCAAGUAGGAGAGUUUCUACUUUGAAUUCUCCUUCUGCAUUUUAGAAAUUAGGGGAAUUCUGUCCUUAUUGUAGAUCACUUAUGGAUUAUUAGAUGGUACGUCUGUCAUUAUGUCUAUCCCGGUGUGAUUGUGUUACAAUAAAAAUCGAAUCAACACAAA